AAGUCGUAACAAGGUUUCCGUAGGUGAACCUGCGGAAGGAUCAUUAACACUUUUGAAUCCUGAACUUGUUCUCCCAAAUUCACUUGGGCAGAACUCGUUCUUAACCCCACAAUUUGCGAACGAUGAUUUAUAUCGCGGAUAAUUUAUAUUAUCUCCGAUAUAUUUCCCCUUUUUUCUCUUUUUUAUUCCCCAUUUAUUUUUACCCCAAAUUAUCCAUUCGACUGAUAUGAACUUUAUCUUUUUCCUUAAAACGAAAAAGAUAAAACGAUUAAAAAAUGGUUAAAACAACUCUUAGCAACGGAUAUCUUGGCUCUC
rnacentral:misc_RNA from 1 species